CUACGAAAUCAGGAGAAUCGGACAGAAGAAAAAGCAAUGCCUUUACGGAAAACCCGAACGUUAGGAAUUCCGUUAAAAAGUGCGGAUAAAAUGGUUUUGUUCAUUCUCCCGAAGUUACCAUCUGUUGACGGUUGCAUUUCGCCGGAUCAGCAGAGUCGGGUAAAAAAGCUCUUACCAUUCAAGGUGGUCAGUGGUUCAAGAGUCCCCGGAAUAAGCUUCAAUGGUUCCGAAGACUAUCGCGUAGUCCACCUUCUGGUAAGCUUCCGACGUUGCGUUGCUUGAUCGACUUUGCCAGAAGCACCUUCAUUGAUACAAAAAGAUGAUGGCAGCAAAACUCUAAAACAAUUUCGAACACUUGCU